rnacentral:rRNA from 1 species
AAGUCGUAACAAGGUUUCCGUAGGUGAACCUGCGGAAGGAUCAUUACCGAAUUGUCAACACGAGUUGUUGCUGGUCCUCAAACGGGGGCAUGUGCACGCUCUGUUCACACAUCCACUCACACCUGUGCACACUCUGUAGUUCUAUGGCCUAGGGGACUCUGUCCUCUUGCCGUGGUUCUAUGUCUUUACACACACACUGUAAUAAAGUCUUAUGGAAUGCAUGUCGCGUUUAACGCAAUACAAUACAACUUUCAGCAACGGAUCUCUUGGCUCUCGCAUCGAUGAAGAACGCAGCGAAAUGCGAUAAGUAAUGUGAAUUGCAGAAUUCAGUGAAUCAUCGAAUCUUUGAACGCACCUUGCGCCCUUUGGCCAUUCCGAAGGGCAUGCCUGUUUGAGUAUCAUGAACACCUCAACUCUUCAUGGUUUUCCAUGAUGAGCUUGGACUUUGGGGGUUUUGCUGGCCUAUGGUCAGCUCCCCUAAAAUGAAUCAGCUUGCCAGUGUUUGGUGGGCAUCACAGGUGUGAUAACUAUCUACGCUUGUGGUUUUCCACCAGGUAGCCUCCAGCAGUGGAGGUUCACUGGAGCUCACAGAUGUCUCUCCUCAGUGAGGACAGCCCUUUGAAUGUUUGAUCUCAAAUCAGGUAGGACUACCCGCUGAACUUAA